rnacentral:rRNA from 1 species
CCUACGGGAGGCAGCAGUGAGGAAUAUUGGUCAAUGGACGAGAGUCUGAACCAGCCAAGUAGCGUGAAGGAUGACUGCCCUACGGGUUGUAAACUUCUUUUAUAAAGGAAUAAAGUGAGGCACGUGUGCCUUUUUGUAUGUACUUUAUGAAUAAGCAUCGGCUAACUCCGUGCCAGCAGCCGCGGUAAUACGGAGGAUCCGAGCGUUAUCCGGAUUUAUUGGGUUUAAAGGGAGCGUAGAGGGGUUGUUAAGUCAGUUGUGAAAGUUUGCGGCUCAACCGUAAAAUUGCAAUUGAUACUGGCAGUCUUGAGUACAGGAGAGGUAGACGGAAUUCCUGGUGUAGCGGUGAAAUGCGUAGAUAUUAGGAAGAACACCAGUGGCGAAGGCGGUCUGCUGGACAGCAACUGACGCUGAGGCGCGAAAGCGUGGGGAGCGAACAGGAUUAGAUACCCCAGUAGUC